UACAGGGGGGGCAAGCGUUGUUCGGAAUCACUGGGCGUAAAGCGCACGUAGGCGGAUCGUUAAGUCAGGGGUGAAAUCCUGGAGCUCAACUCCAGAACUGCCUUUGAUACUGACGAUCUUGAGUUCGGGAGAGGUGAGUGGAACUGCGAGUGUAGAGGUGAAAUUCGUAGAUAUUCGCAAGAACACCAGUGGCGAAGGCGGCUCACUGGCCCGAUACUGACGCUGAGGCACGAAAGCGUGGGGAGCAAACAGG
rnacentral:rRNA from 1 species